rnacentral:rRNA from 1 species
AGAGUUUGAUCAUGGCUCAGAUUGAACGCUGGCGGCAGGCCUAACACAUGCAAGUCGAACGGUAGCACAGAGAGCUUGCUCUCGGGUGACGAGUGGCGGACGGGUGAGUAAUGUCUGGGAAACUGCCUGAUGGAGGGGGAUAACUACUGGAAACGGUAGCUAAUACCGCAUAACGUCGCAAGACCAAAGAGGGGGACCUUCGGGCCUCUUGCCAUCAGAUGUGCCCAGAUGGGAUUAGCUAGUAGGUGGGGUAACGGCUCACCUAGGCGACGAUCCCUAGCUGGUCUGAGAGGAUGACCAGCCACACUGGAACUGAGACACGGUCCAGACUCCUACGGGAGGCAGCAGUGGGGAAUAUUGCACAAUGGGCGCAAGCCUGAUGCAGCAACGCCGCGUGCGGGAUGACGGCCUUCGGGUUGUAAACCGCUUUCAGCAGGGACGAAGCUUUUUGUGACGGUACCUGCAGAAGAAGCACCGGCUAACUACGUGCCAGCAGCCGCGGUGAUACGUAGGGUGCGAGCGUUGUCCGGAUUUAUUGGGCGUAAAGGGCUCGUAGGCGGUUGAUCGCGUCGGAAGUGGAAACUUGAUGCUUAACGUUGAGCGUGCUUUCGAUACGGGUUGACUUGAGGAAGGUAGGGGAGAAUGGAAUUCCUGGUGGAGCGGUGGAAUGCGCAGAUAUCAGGAGGAACACCAGUGGCGAAGGCGGUUCUCUGGGCCUUUCCUGACGCUGAGGAGCGAAAGCGUGGGGAGCGAACAGGCUUAGAUACCCUGGUAGUCCACGCUGUAAACGGUGGGUACUAGGUGUGGGGUCCAUUCCACGGAUUCUGUGCCGUAGCUAACGCAUUAAGUACCCCGCCUGGGGAGUACGGCCGCAAGGCUAAAACUCAAAGGAAUUGACGGGGCCCCGCACAAGCGGCGGAGCAUGCGGAUUAAUUCGAUGCAACGCGUAGAACCUUACCUGGGUUUGACAUGGAUCGGGAGUGCUCAGAGAUGGGUGUGCCUCUUUUGGGGUCGGUUCACAGGUGGUGCAUGGCUGUCGUCAGCUCGUGUCGUGAGAUGUUGGGUUAAGUCCCGCAACGAGCGCAACC